GGAACCGACACGGGGUGCCGCGCAGAGAGCCGGCUGAGAUCCACACCCGUUGAACCUGUCCGGCUAGCACCGGCGAAGGGAUGUCCUCUUGUCUGCGA
rnacentral:ncRNA from 2 species